GACGUAGGAGGCGAGCGUUAUCCGGAUUCACUGGGCGUAAAGCGCGUGUAGGCGGUUGCCCAAGUCGGUUGUGAAAUCCCUGGGCUCAACCUGGGAAUUGCAGUCGAUACUGGGAAGCUCGAGUUCGGUAGAGGACGGCGGAAUUCCCGGUGUAGCGGUGAAAUGCGUAGAUAUCGGGAGGAACAUCAGUGGCGAAGGCGGCUACCUGGCCCAAUACUGACACUCAGGUGCGACAGCGUGGGGAGCAAACAGG
rnacentral:rRNA from 1 species